UGGGGAAUUUUCCGCAAUGGGGGGAACCCUGACGGAGCAACGCCGCGUGCGGGAUGAAGGCCUUCGGGUUGUAAACCGCUGUCAGUUGGGAGGAAGGCUCCGUGAAGAGCGGAGUUUGACCUAUCUUCAGAGGAAGUCCGGGCUAAGUUCGUGCCAGCAGCCGCGGUAACACGAACCGGACAAACGUUAUUCGGAAUUAUUGGGCUUAAAGGGUGCGUAGGCGGCGUGGUAAGUGAGGUGUGAAAGCCCACGGCUCAACCGUGGAAUUGCGCUUCAUACUGCCAUGCUCGAGGGAGACAGAGGUAAGCGGAACUGAUGGAGGAGCGGUGAAAUGCGUUGAUAUCAUCAGGAACACCAGUGGCGAAAGCGGCUUACUGGGUCUCUUCUGACGCUGAGGCACGAAAGCUAGGGUAGCGAACGGGAUUAGAUACCCCGGUAGUCC
rnacentral:rRNA from 1 species